CAAGACGUAGCUAAACACAAAGCACUCAGCUUACACCUGAAAGAUAUCUGCUACAAACCAGAUCGUCUUGA
rnacentral:tRNA from 1 species